AGAACUCAGAGUGACAACUAUAGUAUGACAUGUUCUGUGGUCCAUACAGAAGUAAAAACUUGUACAAACACCAGGAUUUCUUAGAAUUACGCUGUCCUCCAAACUCCUUGUACUUGAGUCGUUUUCUUGGGCUCUGCAACCAGACUAGGCAGGGUCUCCGUUGACUUACCCACGGGCCGGGACAAGUGGCGCCCAACGUGGGGCCAGAGAACGGGGGGAUCCAGUGAAGAACGCUGCUCGGGGGCCCAAUAAAAUAAAAUAGAAAAAAAGAGGAUUGCGUCUGACGUGAACCUGCCGUCUUUCCUGCACCUCGGUGAGUUGAGCAGCGAUUAUGGGACAGGGCAUUAGCCAGCAUGAGCUAUUUGUACAAGGUCUUAAAGAAACUUUACAGGCACGAGGGGUAAAGGUUACAGUCAAACAGUUGUUAAAAUUUUUUGAUUAUAUUAGAGAUCUCUGCCCUUGGUUUCCCACCGAGGGUACUAUUGAUGAGAGGAGAUGGAAAAGAGUAGGG
rnacentral:lncRNA from 1 species